rnacentral:rRNA from 1 species
GGGAGAGAAGGCGGUGUUUUAAGUUCUUCCUUAAAGACUCGAGCCCAACUCGUAGUAAGGGAAGAAUACUGAAACACUAGAAUUGCAAGGGGCCAACAGAACGGUCGGUGUAGGGGUGAAAUCCGAAGAUAUCGACCGGAAUGCCAAAGGCGAAGGCAGUUGGCUAGUGCAAUUCUGACGCUGAUCCUCGAAAGCUAGGGGCGCGAACCGGAUUAGAGACCCGGGUAGUCCUAGCUGUAAACGAUGGGUGCUAACUUUGGGGAGUUUCGACCCUCUCCGAGGUAAAGCUAACGCGUUAAGCACCCCACCUGGGGAGUACGGCCGCAAGGCUGAAACUCAAAGGAAUAGGCGGAAGCCCGAACAAGCAGUGGACCAUGUGGUUUAAUUCGACAGUAACCGAAAAAUCUUACCUGGGCUUGACAUAAUAGUCUCCUUUUCCGAAGGGAAAAGGAUGGGUUUACAGGGCUAUUACAGGUGCUGCAUGGCCGUCGUCAGCUCGUGAUGUGAAUCGUAACCUUAAGUGGCACAACGAGCGCAACCCCUAUCCUAUGUUAUAUGUGUCAUAGGAGACUGCCAACCACAAGUUGGAGGAAGGUGGGGAUGACGUCAGGUCCGCAUGGCCCUUAUGCCCAGGGCAACACACAUGGUACAAUGCUGAAGACAACGGGAAGCGAAACCGCAAGGUGGAGCAAAUCCCUUAAACUUCAGCUCAGUUCGGAUUGAGGGCUGAAACUCGUCCUCAUGAAGCCGGAAUCGCUAGUAAUCGC